rnacentral:rRNA from 1 species
CAGUGAAUCAUCGAAUCUUUGAACGCACAUUGCGCUCCCUGGCAUUCCGGGGAGCACGCCUGUCCGAGCGCCG